GAUGAACGCUGGCGGCGUGCCUAAUACAUGCAAGUCGAGCGAACAGACGAGGAGCUUGCUCCUCUGACGUUAGCGGCGGACGGGUGAGUAACACGUGGAUAACCUACCUAUAAGACUGGGAUAACUUCGGGAAACCGGAGCUAAUACCGGAUAAUAUAUUGAACCGCAUGGUUCAAUAGUUAAAGACGGUUUUGCUGUCACUUAUAGAUGGAUCCGCGCCGCAUUAGCUAGUUGGUAAGGUAACGGCUUACCAAGGCAACGAUGCGUAGCCGACCUGAGAGGGUGAUCGGCCACACUGGAACUGAGACACGGUCCAGACUCCUACGGGAGGCAGCAGUAGGGAAUCUUGCGCAAUGGGCGAAAGCCUGACGGAGCAACGCCGCGUGAGUGAUGAAGGUCUUCGGAUCGUAAAACUCUGUUAUUAGGGAAGAACAAAUGUGGAAGUAACUAUGCACGUCUUGACGGUACCUAAUCAGAAAGCCACGGCUAACUACGUG
rnacentral:rRNA from 1 species